AAGACGAGAAGACCCUGUCGAGCUUAAUUAAACUAAGGAUGAUAGAAUUUUUAGUCAAAAUGUAGUUGGGGAAAGUUAGGCUUGAGAUAAUAAGCUUUUUAAGGUGAAGAUCCUUUUUGAGAGAAAUUAGCAAAAGCUACCGCAGGGAUAACAGCGUAAUCUCUCUCCAGUGGCAUAGCUAUUUAGAGGGGGGUUUGCGACCUCGAUGUUG
rnacentral:rRNA from 1 species